GUGUUGUAUGAAAGCAGAGGAGGUCAGCACUCUCCCUGACAAGGAUGGAAGAAGCCCUUGGGCCUGACAACACGCAUACGGUUAAGGCAAUGCCACCUACUUCGUGGCAUCUAACCAUCGUUUUUA
ensembl:snRNA